rnacentral:rRNA from 1 species
CUACGUGCCAGCAGCCGCGGUAAUACGGAAGGUCCAGGCGUUAUCCGGAUUUAUUGGGUUUAAAGGGAGCGUAGGCUGGAGAUUAAGUGUGUUGUGAAAUGUAGACGCUCAACGUCUGAAUUGCAGCGCAUACUGGUUUCCUUGAGUAUGCACAACGUAGGCGGAAUUCGUCGUGUAGCGGUGAAAUGCUUAGAUAUGACGAAGAACUCCGAUUGCGAAGGCAGCUUACGGGAGCACAACUGACGCUGAAGCUCGAAGGUGCGGGUAUCAAACAGGAUUAGAUACCCUGGUAGUCCGCACAGUAAACGAUGGAUGCCCGUUGUUAGUUCACUUAAGAAUUAGCGACCAAGCGAAAGCAUUAAGCAUCCCACCUGGGGAGUACGCCGGCAACGGUGAAACUCAAAGGAAUUGACGGGGGCCCGCACAAGCGGAGGAACAUGUGGUUUAAUUCGAUGAUACGCGAGGAACCUUACCCGGGCUUGAAUUGCAGAGGAAGGAUUUAGAGAUA